GAUGAACGCUGGCGGCGUGCCUAAUACAUGCAAGUCGAGCGAACAGACGAGGAGCUUGCUCCUCUGACGUUAGCGGCGGACGUGUGAGUAACACGUGGAUAACCUACCUAUAAGACUGGGAUAACUUCGGGAAACCGGAGCUAAUACCGGAUAAUAUAUUGAACCGCAUGGUUCAAUAGUGAAAUACGGUUUUGCUGUCACUUAUAGAUGGAUCCGCGCCGCAUUAGCUAGUUGGUAAGGUAACGGCUUACCAAGGCGACGAUGCGUAGCCGACCUGAGAGGGUGGUCGGCCACACUGGAACUGGGACACGGUCCAGACUCCUACGGGAGGCAGCAGUAGGGAAUCUUCCGCAAUGGGCGAAAGCUUGACGGAGCAACGCCGCGUGAGUGAUGAAGGUCUUCGGAUCGUAAAACUCUGUUAUUAGGGAAGAACAAAUGUGUAAGUAACUAUGCACGUCUUGACGGUACCUAAUCAGAAAGCCACGGCUAACUACGUG
rnacentral:rRNA from 1 species